CUCUAAUGCUUAAAAAGUUGUAAAACUUCACAUCUGUUCAGGAGAUAAAUGCAAACUUUGCUUCUUCAUCUCAAGGGACACUCCUUUUUUAACAUCUUUUUUGAGUUUCAUUCUAAUGUCUGCCAGUGGAGAAAUGGUUUUUAUGAUAUGGAUACCGUUACUUUGUUCAUUUUUAAUCUUUUUUUUUUUUCUUUCGUAGUGGAAAGGUGAAAUCCAGGAAUUUUGUCCAAAUACCAAAAUGCUGUUGGUCGGCUGCAAGUCUGAUCUGCGGACAGAUGUUAGUACAUUAGUAGAGCUCUCCAAUCACAGGCAGACGCCAGUGUCCUAUGACCAGGGGGCAAAUAUGGCCAAACAGAUUGGAGCAGCUACUUAUAUCGAAUGCUCAGCUUUACAGUCGGAAAAUAGCGUCAGAGACAUUUUUCACGUUGCCAC
rnacentral:sRNA from 1 species